UGGGGAAUUUUGGACAAUGGACGCAAGUCUGAUCCAGCCAUGCCGCGUGCGGGAAGAAGGCCUUCGGGUUGUAAACCGCUUUUGUCAGGGAAGAAACGAGUUUCUCUAAUACAGAGACUUAAUGACGGUACCUGAAGAAUAAGCACCGGCUAACUACGUGCUAGCAGCCGCGGUAAUACGUAGGGUGCAAGCGUUAAUCGGAAUUACUGGGCGUAAAGCGUGCGCAGGCGGUUAUGUAAGACAGAUGUGAAAUCCCCGGGCUCAACCUGGGAACUGCCUUUGUGACUGCAUAGCUAGAGUACGGUAGAGGGGGAUGGAAUUCCGCGUGUAGCAGUGAAAUGCGUAGAUAUGCGGAGGAACACCGAUGGCGAAGGCAAUCCCCUGGACCUGUACUGACGCUCAUGCACGAAAGCGUGGGGAGCAAACA
rnacentral:rRNA from 1 species